rnacentral:lncRNA from 1 species
ACAGAAGCAAACUUCAUUCUUGUGUGUGUCUUUAACAUCUCAUGACUUUAGCCUCAAUUUGUUCUUGGUUUGAAACCAAUAACGUGAACAGGACUAUUUCAUCCAAACAAUUCCACUCUUUAGCCAAAAAUAUUUCGAUAGGAAUUUCAAAAGGCCCCCACAAUUUUGUUCAAAUUUUAAAGGGAUUGUGGCAGAAUUUCAUUCAACACAUCUCACGAAAGCAGAAGUUUCAUUCCAUUCAAAUAAUUUCAUGAGCAGGUAUAAUAAGAUUAUUACUUUUUUCUUUUCAUAUGAUUCAUACAACAUGAAUAGAAUAUGCAAAUGCAUAAAUUUCAUAAAUGACUCUAUAAAUAAAAGUAUUAGAGAUAUUUAUGUUCUUCAAUUUUCAUGUAUCAUAAUAUUUUAUCAUCUUCUAAUGGAUCUCAGAAAAAUACGAAAGUUGAAAAGAGUUUACUUUAUAAUAUUACUCAAGGCAAAAUGGUCUUAUGACAUUCCGAAAGAUUUUAUUGACAUACUUUUCAUGCAUUGCAUUCAUGUACAUUGGCCCGUGAACAGAUGACGUUAUAUACGCGCAUAUAUGUAUAUGAAAUAUGGGAAAGGUUAUGGUGUUAUAUAUGCACCACCACCUGAUCAGCUGGUAUACACUUAUAAUUUUUCCUAUAGUGACCAAUAUGAUAUGGUGGGAUACCCUCAGAAGUUGAUGAUGUUAUGAGACAUGUACCUAUGCACGACAUGACAUUCAUACACAUAUGCAUGACGCUAAAAGUAUUUCAUGAUUUACAGAGUUAUUCAGACUUACAGGUUGAGCCAAGUACUAUAUAUUUCUUCCAUGUCUGUUAUGUACUUAUUUAUGUGCCUUACAUACUCGGUACAUUUUUCCUAUUGACGUUCAUUUUUCCUGGGGACGCUGUGUUUCAUUCCUGCAGGUCCCGAUAGAUAGGUCGAGAGCUCUACAAGUAGGCUAUCAGCUCAGGAAAAGAUGUUGGUGCGCUCCAUUUGCUUCGGAGUUGCUUGUUUGGCUUGUAUAAUUUAGAAGUACAUUGUUUGGUAUGGGGGGACUCUGCCCCGACCUUUAUGACAUUUAUGUACUCUUAAAGGCUUGUAGAUAUAUGUCGUAUACGUGAAAUAUUAUACGGCCUUGUCGGCCUAUGUCUUGAUUUAAAAAUAAUUAUGUUGGCCUAUUAGGCCCAUAUGUCACGUGUAUAUGAUAAUGUAAUAAGAAAGAUAUGUUACGUUGGUAUUCAAUAGUGUAAGGUACCGGGUGCCCAUCUCGGCCAUCGGUUUAUGUCGUGACACCGAUGAUCUGUGAAUACCUCGCACGACACAUUGUAAAGAUAGUGCCUC